AGCCAGGAGCUCCGAGAGCCCCAAAAGCCACAGAAUCAAAUGCGCGCUCUUCCGAUCGUGAAUUGUUGUAUCCCUUUGGCCAUCAAAAUGAUUUAGGCCACGUCGUCCUCACCAGGCCGCAGACUUCCCGGGAGGAUGGUCGAGGCGAUGGAUGUCCCGGACCCCCAUUUCCACCAACGCCACCGCCGCCAAUUACGGAGACGUCUUCUUCAUCCACGACACCUGCGUCACCAUCCUUCACCAGUGUGGCGACGGCACAACCGAUCCCCACUUCCGGUGGGGGACUACUGCCAACGACGACGACGACGUCCUCCACGUCCCCCCACAAUAAGGCCGUAACGCCCCCUCCACCCCUCCCCCUGUCGCCAUGUCUUCCAUCCACGGCCCCGCCGGAGCCGGAACUGUUGUCGCCCCGGGUCCUCACCGCGUCCGUGAGUCACCUCUCCCUCCAGUCGAGUCGGCAUAACAGAUUCCAUUCAGGCAAUUAUUCCUUUCAUCG